UUUAUUUAUAUCGUUUUGUAUUUUAAUCUAACCAUUAUACUUAUACUACAUUUAUUUAUACAAAAUAAAUUUAUAUGGGAAGCUGUAACUCUCUCGUCACUCCUAAAUAAAAUAUUUUUGGGGAAGUCUAGUAAUAAUAAUGUAAUAUGAGACGUAAAUGAGUUUAUGAGCAAAGGAGAAAUUCAAGCUUUAACUAGACAGGAAAUGUAAUUUCCCAAUCGGUGUCUGGUGGGUAAGAAAAUUGAGGCAAAGCGAGAAGAUUUCAUCAAAUCCAACCGUUUGGUCUUUUAUUAACUCCUGCAAAUGACAACUCGUAAUUCAAUUGUACCGUUGGUCUGGUAUUUUAUUAUAUUUUAAAAUAUUAAAUAAUUUAUUAUUAUAUAUUUCGCAUUUUCAAAAAAGAAAUGAAAUAAAUUUAAGAAGACGGGAGGAGAAACCCCCCAUGUCCCACGUCCCAUCCCACUUUCCAAACACGACAAAUAAAAAGCUGCCAAAUCAGCAAUCAAGCCCCGCAAAAAGCAAAACUACUUUAUCGACUGCUGCUCACAACAAACACACUAAGAAAGGAAAAGGGAACCAACCAAAAAGAUUAAAAAAAAAAAUUGAAAAAAUUGCAAAAAUUGCUUACCUUUUAAGCCAACAAUUCCCAUCGCGUUCAAGCAUUCCCCCGUUUCAGUACACGUUUUGUUUUUGGUUUCAAGAUCCUACUGCUACCUAUAAAAUUGAGCCGGAACCCAGUUCACAGAUUUCAAGAUCCAUCGGAAAACAACAGUCCGCGAUUGUCGUCUCAAAAAAAAAAAAAAAUUAAAUAAAUAAAAGGGGAAAAAGAAAUCAAGAUGUGUUUCGGAACGAAGACGUGCAUGUUGUGCAUUUGUUUGAUCGCAGUGGUGAUUCUGAUCGGAUUGCUAUUCGGAUUCGGAGUAUUCAAGAAGGCGUUUCACAAGGUUAAGGAUAA
rnacentral:lncRNA from 1 species